UGGGGAUCAAACGGGGGAUAAGUUUACAUAUUUCGCGUUUUUUGCAACAGUCGUUGCCUCUUACGCAUACCUACAUUUUUUGCAACGUUGCGAAAACGAACUCUUUUGCAGUGUUCAUUGAACGUUGCGAAAAAUUUACAUAUUUUGCGCUUUUUGCAACGGUCAUUGCCUCUUGCGAAAACUUACACUUUUUGUAACGUUUGUUUGAACGUUGAAAAAAAACUCUUUUGCAACUUUUGGGUGAACGUUGUUCAAGCACGCUCAUUCAUAACAUUUGCAACAUUCAAUUCAAACGUUGUUGAAGAGAAAUCCACUUCCAAUUAAUUAUUAAUCAGCCUAAAAUCAGUUAGCCCAAUUUUACCCAUACCAAAAUUAAGAGAAGAAUAACGUCAACCCUAUAUCCACCUACUCUCCUCUCAUUCACAUUAUGCACUGAGGAGUUAAAUGUUUCACUAGCUACUGAACUUUGACCUAUGUCACGACUUACUCACCGAACUUUCAAACUUAUCCCAUUAACCACUGAACUUCAAUCCGGUAAUGUCCAUUACUCAUUGGAUCAGAUACGUUAAUUGACGGAUCUACGUGGUAAACAGAAAAUCUAGCUGGCCAGUUAAAUUUUUACAAAUGUUAAAUGAUUUGCCAAAUAAUUGACCACAUCAGUAUUAAACACACGCCAUCCCCAACUCUAUUACACGCCUUUCCUUGAACAGGCUUCCUCCAUAAAAUUUCACUCACCGAAAUUGCUAACUUUCAGGGAAGAAAAUGAACCCUAAUCGAAAUUGAAACCCUAAAUCCCCCAAAUCUAAACCCUGAGCUCGAAAUCAAGGUCCUUGACCCCAUUGCUAAGUACUCAAACAGCCUGCGCAAGCAUGAAGAAGCAGCUCCCAUUCCGUUUACAACACGAGGAUAAAUUUCAAGCUUAUGGGUUUUAUUGGGCUUUGUAGUUGCUAUUCAUCUGACACUUAUGGGUUUUGUAGCUGCUAUUUUGGGUUUUGCAGUUGCUAUUCCCGUAUCUGAAAAUUUUGAAGUUGCUAUUCAUAUGACAUUUAUGGGUUUUACAAAUCUGAAAAAUAUUUAUUUACAUGGUUUCUUUUGGGAAUUGUAAUUGUACUCUUCCUCCCAACACUUAGAUUAAUUCACAGAAAUUCACAGAAUCCCGUGUCUCAUUUGAAUGACCUUCGUAACAUGAUUUAAUUGUUCAACCAGAUUGAUAUAGUUUGAUUCUGCUUGAGUUCUCGACUUGGAUACUUGGUUGAUUGGUUGAGUAGGGUUGAAUCAUUUGAUAGCUAAUUAAUUCCCAACAUCUAUACUAUAGUAGCAAAUAUAUAUAUUUAAAGUUUGGCCACAGUUUGUUGUUCUCUAUUUGACUAUUUGACGGUUUGCAUCCAUUCUUGUUAAUGUGGUUUAAUUGUAUGACAGAUUGUGAGUAAGUUCCUACUACUACACGCCUUUUACUUUGAUACCAAUGGUCUGGUUAUAGUAAAUUCCAACAAGAUCGUGUCAAGGAGAACCAAGAAUCAAUUGAAUCACAGAGCGACUGUGUAGUUAAUGAAAAAGAGUCUGUAGUAUUUCACCCCUGAAUGCACUCAAGAUGCAUUUCUUGAUUUGCUUCUUCCUAGCCUCCCUAUCUUUAGUAAAUUUUUUCUUACUCAAAAAUUUUCUCUAGUUUCUUCAAAUUGCUGUUGGUGUUCAGUUAUAGUUUUUAUUUGAUUGCAUCAAGUUCAGCGACUAAAGCUGUAUAUUGAACUCAUUUUGGUAAAUCCAAAUUUAUAACAUGAGCAACACUAGAUCUUAGUGCUUGUUCUUGUUAGAAAUAACGUGGGUCGACUUUGGCUUUACAACAAAAUGGAAUUGAGAAACCGCAGCUGAAAAUGGACACAAGUAUUUACGUGGUUCACCCAAUUUAGGCUACGUCCACGGGCAAGUAUAGGAGGAUUUCACUAUAGUAGGAGAAUUACAACACUCUCUAAAUACAAGGAGAUAACAACAAUUAAUCUCUCUUGUAAUAUGAGAAUACAAGGAGGUAAUACUUAGGAGAAACUAAUAAUUUUUCUUUCUACUCCCAAUCUUCUCUCUACUCUCUAAUUCCUCUCAGGUUGCUUGGCUUCUCUCUCCCCACAUCUACCUCUAUUUAUAGAAAUUGUUAACCUCCUUAAUGGAAGUAUCUACAUGAAAACAAGAAGAAUUUCAAAAUGAAUUUUCUUCUUAAAUAGUCAAAUAUGGUGGCUAAGAGAGUUUCACUUCAAUUUUGCCACUUCCAAGUUGUGAUUGGUGGAAAGGAAUUCAAAUUCAAGUUGGUCACUUGCAACUUGAAAACUUCUUCAUGAAGUUUCAACAAUUUUUAUUGGAGUCAACAAUUGUGGCUUUAAUAUUCAACAUUUCUCCCACUUAAAGUCACUUUUNUGAAAAAAUGUUGAUUAAGUUUGCCAUGCAUAACUCUAAAUCAGUUUCACUUCCAUUGGCCAGCCAUUUUAAACUCAGUAAGGAGCAAUGUCCUGUAAAUGAAUCUGACAUUAGACAAAUGGAAAAUGUACCCUAUGCUAAUGCCGUAGGUUCUGUUAUGUACACUAUGGUAUGUACUAGGCCUGAUGUAGCUC
rnacentral:lncRNA from 1 species